CGGACGGGUGAGUAACACGUGGAUAACCUACCUAUAAGACUGAGAUAACUUCGGGAAACCGGAGCUAAUACCGGAUAAUAUAUUGAACCGCAUGGUUCAAUAGUGAAAGACGGUUUUGCUGUCACUUAUAGAUGGAUCCGCGCCGCAUUAGCUAGUUGGUAAGGUAACGGCUUACCAAGGCAACGAUGCGUAGCCGACCUGAGAGGGCGAUCGGCCACACUGGAACUGAGACACGGUCCAG
rnacentral:rRNA from 1 species